AGGGGAAUCUCUGGGUCAGGGAUCUCUGGUGAACGUGCAUUCACCCAUUGAUCAAAACACAGACGCCAUCAAUCAGCCAGCAGAGGUCGUAAUUGCAUCAGUUAUAAGGAGUCUCUCUCCAGCUCCCUCCAUGGAUGAACAGCAGCUAAACGUUGUUCAUAUAGCCGCCCAGUCCAGCCGGAUGGCAGAGUGAUUCUUACAUUCUAAUUGAUUUGUGGGUUCUCUUCUGGUUGGUUCUCUGAUGUCUGGGCUGAAAGCGACUCAGUGAUCUCAGUUUCAGCAGACAGAGCCGCUACCAUUUCGUCUCACUCGAGUGACUGAUCUAUAACGAGUAAAUCUAAGUUACCUUGCUGCUUGUGGUUCUUUGAAAGCCAUGUUUGAUAAAUUGUGAUGCUGAGAUGGUGAAAGCAUGCGACGGCGUGUGCAUUCAAACACUUUGUGAUAAGCUAAUUUAGUGCCGGAAGUUGGAGUGGGUGGAACCAUGGACAGAAUCAGCUUCAUUAGGAGAAAAUUCGAAGAUUUGCUGGUGAGGGUUAAAGCACUUCAAAGACCACCGCUGAGCUGAACUCUGUAGUGCUGCUUUGUUUCUUCUCUGGAGAAGACAUGUUUCUGUGUGAUAAACAGUGCUGUUUGUUUUUAAAACACUGUAAAACUGUAAAAAAAAAUAUGAAUGUUUACAUUUUUGAAUUUUUGAUAAUAAUGGCUGAUAUCUGCAUACCUCAGUAUUCAGAUACUUACUAAACACAUGGCAUACACUGAAAAUGUAUGAAAUAUGGCUGAAAACGAGUAAACGUUUAUCCUAAUUGUUGAGUUCUGGCAGUCUGACUGAGAAGUCUAUAUUUGGUGAAUGCCAGGAGAACGUUACCUGCCUGAUUGCAUUGUGAUGACUGUUUGGUGAAGCAGGGAUAAUGAUGUGGUGUUGUUUUUCACAAGUUGGGAAAGCUAAUGUGACAUGACACAAGUGCGUAGACUAAAUGAUCAUUCUACUUUUCAGUUAUUCAUAUACAAACACUAGAAAGAAAAAUGAAACAACCUGAACUUUAGAAUGAUUAAGAAAACUUGGAAACAUAGAGGCAAUGAACUGAACAUAUGCUACAGUCACAAAUAGACAACAAACGAGGUAAUGAAACAGAAGUACUUUUACAAUCACUAAUCAAAGGAACAUGAGUAACAGGUAUGAACAACAGACAGAAAAUCACAAGCACAGUGGCAGUGAUAAAGACAUGCAAACAAAACCAAAAUGCAU